ensembl:lncRNA
GCACGCCCGAUCUCGUCCGAUCUCGGAAGCUAAGCAGUGUCGGGCCUGGUUAGUACUUGGAUGGGAGACCGCCUGGGAAUACCAGGUGCUGUAAGCUUUUCUGUCUCUGCCUCCCAGCGCGCCCCUGCUGGCCGCAGCAGUCAGCACAAUUCAGCCAGUUAAACUUGGAACACUCUUUUGUGUUUUUUUUUUUUCUUUCUUUCUUUCUGCCUGUCUGUUAGUCUGUCUGUCUGUCUUCAUGUCUGUCUGUCUGUCUGUCUGCCUGUCUGUCUGCACGUCCCGAGCCACGUGAGCUUCAUGAGGCCGACUUUGUCAGGCAGUAAUUGCUUACGGCCAUACCACACUGAGCACGCCCGAUCUCGUCCGAUCUCGGAAGCUAAGCAGUGUCGGGCCUGGU